UACAGGGGGGGCAAGCGUUGUUCGGAAUUACUGGGCGUAAAGGGCUUGUAGGUGGCCAACUAAGUCACACGUGAAAUCCCCAGGCUUAACCUGGGAACUGCGUGUGAUACUGGAUGGCUUGAAUCCGGGAGAGGGAUGCGGAAUUCCAGGUGUAGCGGUGAAAUGCGCAGAUAUCUGGAGGAACACCGGUGGCGAAGGCGGCAUCCUGGACCGGUAUUGACACUGAAAAGCGAAAGCCAGGGGAGCAAACGGG
rnacentral:rRNA from 1 species